UACGUAGGGACCAAGCGUUGUUCGGAUUUACUGGGCGUAAAGGGCGCGUAGGCGGCGUGACAAGUCACUUGUGAAAUCUCCGGGCUUAACUCGGAACGGCCAAGUGAUACUGUCGUGCUAGAGUGCAGAAGGGGCAAUCGGAAUUCUUGGUGUAGCGGUGAAAUGCGUAGAUAUCAAGAGGAACACCUGAGGUGAAGACGGGUUGCUGGGCUAACACUGACGCUGAAGCGCGAAAGCUAGGGGAGCAAACGGG
rnacentral:rRNA from 1 species